UCCAAUGUGGUCUAGUGGCUAGGAUUUGCCGCUCUCAAGAAGUGCCGGCAAGGCCGGGGUUCGAUUCCCCGCAUUGGAA
rnacentral:tRNA from 1 species